rnacentral:rRNA from 1 species
AGUCAAGUAAUUAAGUGCAUGUGGUGGAUGCCUUGGCAGUCAGAGGCGAUGAAAGACGUGAUAGCCUGCGAAAAGCUCCGGGGAGGCGGCAAAUAUCCUUUGAUCCGGAGAUGUCUGAAUGGGGGAACCCACCUACUUUAAGGUAGGUAUUGCAACAUGAAUACAUAGUGUUGCAAGGCGAACGAGGGGAAGUGAAACAUCUCAGUACCCUUAGGAAAAGAAAUCAAUUGAGAUUCCCUCAGUAGCGGCGAGCGAACGGGGAUCAGCCCAUUAAGUUAUGUGUGUUUUAGUGGAACGCUCUGGGAAGUGCGAACGUAGAGGGUGAUAUUCCCGUACACGAAAGGGCACACAUAAUGAUGACGAGUAGGGCGAGGCACGUGAAACCUUGUCUGAAUAUGGGGGGACCAUCCUCCAAGGCUAAAUACUCCUGACUGACCGAUAGUGAACCAGUACCGUGAGGGAAAGGCGAAAAGAACCCCUGUGAGGGGAGUGAAAUAGAUCCUGAAACCGCAUGCAUACAAGCAGUGGGAGCACCUUCGUGGUGUGACUGCGUACCUUUUGUAUAAUGGGUCAGCGACUUAUAUUCAGUAGCGAGGUUAACCGUAUAGGGGAGCCGUAGAGAAAUCGAGUCUUAAUAGGGCGUUUAGUUGCUGGGUAUAGACCCGAAACCAGGCGAUCUAUCCAUGAGCAGGUUGAAGGUUGGGUAACACUAACUGGAGGACCGAACCCACUGUCGUUGAAAAGCCAGGGGAUGACUUGUGGAUAGGGGUGAAAGGCUAAUCAAGCCUGGUGAUAGCUGGUUCUCCCCGAAAGCUAUUUAGGUAGCGCCUCGGACGAAUACCAUAGGGGGUAGAGCACUGUUUCGGCUAGGGGGUCAUCCCGACUUACCAAACCGAUGCAAACUCCGAAUACCUAUGAGUACUAUCCGGGAGACAGACUGCGGGUGCUAACGUCCGUAGUCAAGAGGAAAACAAUCCAGACCGCCAGCUAAGGCCCCAAAAUCAUAGUUAAGUGGGAAACGAUGUGGGAAGGCAUAGACAGCUAGGAGGUUGGCUUAGAAGCAGCCACCCUUUAAAGAAAGCGUAAUAGCUCACUAGUCGAGUCGGCCUGCGCGGAAGAUGUAACGGGGCUAAAACUAUGUGCCGAAGCUGCGGAUGUAUACUUUGUAUACGUGGUAGGGGAGCGUUCUGUAAGCCGAUGAAGGUGUGUUGAGAAGCAUGCUGGAGGUAUCAGAAGUGCGAAUGCUGACGUGAGUAACGACCAAAACGGGUGAAAAACCCGUUCGCCGAAAGACCAAGGGUUCCAGUCCAACGUUAAUCGGGGCUGGGUGAGUCGACCCCUAAGGCGAGGCCGAAAGGCGUAGUCGAUGGGAAAAUGGUUAAUAUUCCAUUACUUCUGUGUAAUGCGAUGAGAGGACGGAGAAGGCUAAAUCAGCCUGGCGUUGGUUGUCCAGGUGAAAGGAUGUAGGCAUGUAUCUUAGGCAAAUCCGGGGUACUCUAUGCUGAGAUCUGAUAGCAAGCUGUACUUGUACAGCGAAGUGGUUGAUGCCAUGCUUCCAGGAAAAGUCUCUAAGCUUCAGUUACACAGGAAUCGUACCCGAAACCGACACAGGUGGUCAGGUCGAGUAGACCAAGGCGCUUGAGAGAACUCUGCUGAAGGAACUAGGCAAAAUGGUACCGUAACUUCGGGAGAAGGUACGCUGUUGUUGGUGAUGGAACUCGCUUCCUGAGCUGACGACAGCCGCAGAAACCAGGCCGCUGCAACUGUUUAUUAAAAACAUAGCACUCUGCAAACACGAAAGUGGACGUAUAGGGUGUGAUGCCUGCCCGGUGCUGGAAGGUUAAUUGAUGGGGUUAGCGUAAGCGAAGCUCUUGAUCGAAGCCCCAGUAAACGGCGGCCGUAACUAUAACGGUCCUAAGGUAGCGAAAUUCCUUGUCGGGUAAGUUCCGACCUGCACGAAUGGCAUAAUGAUGGCGGCGCUGUCUCCAGCAGAGGCUCAGUGAAAUCGAAAUCGCUGUGAAGAUGCAGUGUACCCGCGGCUAGACGGAAAGACCCCGUGAACCUUUACUGCAGCUUGACACUGAACUUUGACCUUACUUGUGUAGGAUAGGUGGGAGGCUUUGAAGCUGGAACGCUAGUUCCAGUGGAGCCGUCCUUGAAAUACCACCCUGGUAAUGUUGAGGUUCUAACUCUGUCCCGUGAUCCGGGACGAGGACCGUGUCUGGUGGGUAGUUUGACUGGGGCGGUCUCCUCCUAAAGAGUAACGGAGGAGUACGAAGGUGCGCUCAGCGUGGUCGGAAAUCACGCGUAGAGUAUAAAGGCAAAAGCGCGCUUAACUGCGAGACCCACAAGUCGAGCAGGUACGAAAGUAGGUCUUAGUGAUCCGGUGGUUCUGUAUGGAAGGGCCAUCGCUCAACGGAUAAAAGGUACUCUGGGGAUAACAGGCUGAUACCGCCCAAGAGUUCAUAUCGACGGCGGUGUUUGGCACCUCGAUGUCGGCUCAUCUCAUCCUGGGGCUGAAGCAGGUCCCAAGGGUAUGGCUGUUCGCCAUUUAAAGAGGUACGCGAGCUGGGUUUAGAACGUCGUGAGACAGUUCGGUCCCUAUCUACCGUGGGCGCUGGAAAUUUGAGAGGAUCUGCUCCUAGUACGAGAGGACCAGAGUGGACGAACCUCUGGUGUACCGGUUGUGACGCCAGUCGCAUCGCCGGGUAGCUAUGUUCGGAAGGGAUAACCGCUGAAAGCAUCUAAGCGGGAAGCCUACCUCAAGAUAAGAUUUCCCUAGGACUUUAUGUCCUCUAAAGAGCCGUUCGAGACUAGGACGUUGAUAGGUUGGAUGUGGAAGCAUAGUGAUAUGUGAAGCUGACCAAUACUAAUUGCUCGUGAGGCUUGACUAU